GGAGGGGUGCCGGAGUGGUUGAACGGGCCGGUCUCGAAAACCGGUAUAGGGGUUUCCCCCUAUCGAGGGUUCGAAUCCCUCCUCCUCCGCCA
rnacentral:tRNA from 3 species